UACAGAGGGGGCAAGCGUUGUUCGGAAGUACUGGGCGUAAAGGGCGCGUAGGCGGCCCGCUAAGUCGAACGUGAAAUCCCCGAGCUCAACUCGGGAACUGCGUCCGAUACUGGUGGGCUUGAAUCCGGGAGAGGGAUGCGGAGUUCCAGGUGUAGCGGUGAAAUGCGUAGAUAUCUGGAGGAACACCGGUGGCGAAGGCGGCAUCCUGGACCGGCAUUGACGCUGAGGCGCGAAAGCUAGGGGAGCAAACGGG
rnacentral:rRNA from 1 species